rnacentral:rRNA from 1 species
AACGUAGGAGGCAAGCGUUAUCCGGAUUUACUGGGCGUAAAGCGCGUGCAGGCGGUCUGCUAAGUCGUGCGUGAAAGCACUGGGCUUAACCCAGCGAGGUCGGGCGAGACUGGCAGACUAGAGGCAGACAGAGGCAAGUGGAAUUCCGGGUGUAGUGGUGAAAUGCGUAGAGAUCCGGAGGAAUACCAGUGGCGAAGGCGGCUUGCUGGGUCUGCACUGACGCUCAGACGCGAAAGCAUGGGGAGCGAACGGG